UUCAUUGCAGGGGAGUCAGACUCAAUGAUCUUUAAGGGUCCCUUCCAACUCUAAGGACUCUAUGAUAUGUAGUUGCUCCUGUGCUACAGAAUCCCAUCAGAAGCCACUGGGUUUGGAGCUGUGUAUGCACCAGUUCCAAAUUAUACGGCUCUGCAGGGUGCUGGAGAUGUGUGCACAUGGAGGAAGGAGUUACCAGUACAUCUGUCCAGGAAGCUUUACAAAGAUUGCUGUUAUGGUACCAUAGAAUGGCUUAGAUUUGGAAGGGACUUUAAAGAUCAUUGAGCUCCAACACCCUUGCUAUGGACAGGGUUACCGACUACAAGAUCAGGCUGUCCUAUCAAAAAGCAAGUCCUUCUGCAGGAGGGGCAGUGAUACAUUUGGUUCUCUGGAGCAAUUUGAUGAGCAAGAACUCUUAGAAUUAUUUACAAAGACUCAGGAGGAACUGCAGCUGAUGCUUCCCUCUCACCGAGCGAGUGUCUUCUGAACGCAUAGCUGUUUUGAUGAAGACUCUGUGAGGCAGACAAGAAGCCAAAACACUGUUAGCAAACAGGUGGGUUUACAGUAAAGCCUGCUAGUCAGCGCUGUCUGUUGGUAGAGGAAAGAGAACACCCAGCGUCAUAAAUACGACUCCCAGGGGACCUCCAUGCUUGAAACAGUAACUCAAAACGUCAUAAAUCCUCUACAAAUCUGAAUGUUCUAUGGAUGUAAAAUGGUUACUCAUCACCCAUUUGCUCUCCAAAGGGUAAGGCAGUUGAUAUACCUCCUCCUGUUGCUUCCCAGUUUGCUCCUGUCACUGGGGUACAACUCCAGAGCACUUUGAGUCACUUGCAAACUGGUGAGGGAGAGCAGGAUUUUGACACUGGAUUGCUGCAGCCCCGCCUGAGACAGCAUUAAGCUGCUGUGAAAUUUCCUCCCUCUCUCUUCCCUGUAGUGUCUUUCAGAUGCUGUUGAGCAAGCUCGAUGUGGGAUGGCUUGAAACUGGUUUAUACUUGAAAACACAGCUUUGUCAAAGCAAUUUUUCGCUUUUUUUUUUUUUUAACUUAAGAAAAAGCUCAUAAAUUGAGGCAAAGGAGUUUGUCUAGUCCUUUUCUUUUCUUUUUUCUUUUUUUUUUCUCCACCCUAGAAAACUGAGCUUGUGUAGGCUUUUCUAAAAUGCAAAGUGUUUUCUGUUUGAAGCGAGAUUUUUAACAUAAACUAAUUGCCAGUGUUCUUUUGCAGCAAAUAGACUGCAAAAAAAAAAAAACAAAAACCACUGGAGUGCCCACUGCCUGUUGUUGAACACGGGCUGGCAGGGGGUGUUGAGGCAGCAGCAGAUCUGCAUCUCUGGGCCUGUGAAACCCUUUAGAAAUUCUCACUGGUGCUUUGUAAAUGAGAACAAAGCUAAUCACCUCCUGGAUCUCUCCUGCUGCUGAAAAGAACUACCAGUCUGCUCAGUGAGUCUCUGCGCUCAGCAAUAGCGCGUUUUCAAAGUCAGGCAGAAUUUUCUCCCUGGGAAGUGAGUUACCUCAGGGCUCUUGGAAGUGAUGGAGAAUUAACUAAAGGCCCUGACAUAACCAAAAUCAAUUAAGGAAAAUUCACAAGACUGUUUUAUAACUGAUAGAAAAUAAACAUAUCUCAGUAUGUUAACCUA